GUCCCGGUAGCUCAGUUGGUAGAGCACCGGUAAGUGGUGAGCGAAAGCUUUUAGCAAUAGUAACUGCAAGGAGGUCCCAGGAUCGAAGCCUGCCCGGGAUU